AUACAUUUAUUUUCCAAAAUGUUUGACUAUUUCUUAAAACUGCUGUCAUCUUAAGUAGAACCUUUGGACCACAUUAUUUAUAAUUUCCUAUUUUACUAACAAACAAAUUUAAUACAAUCUGGUUUUAAAGUUAAGCAGCUCUGUUACCAGUAACAUGUAUGUAAAUAGACUUUAUAUCUUUAGUUUGUCUGCAGGGAGCGUCUGUUGUGUUUAGUGACAUCAGGCAGUGACAUCAGAUGGCUGGUGAAGCAGUCAACAGUUUUUGUUAACACACCAUCAUAGUUUUGUCCUCAGCUUAUCACUGGGAGGGAAAAGACACAUGGACAUGUAUUUGUUCUCCAACUAGUGUGGUAUCCCUGUGCGUAUUUACUGCAUGCGCCCACCGGAUAACAGUAUGGUUGUUUCAGUGUAGCCCACCCCCUAGCUGCGAGCGUUGAGCGGCACUAGAGGACAGUGUUGUGUCCAAUUCACUCUUGUCAUGUUCUAUUGUUUGUGGCCAGACGCAUCAUGCACACAGCCCCCCAUGCACAGUUUGCCUUACUGCAGUUGAUUAGAUUCGGUCUGAUGGGUUAACAGUAAUACUCUUCCACUACAGUGUAGAGUGACUCUUAUUACAAUCUUUAAAUAUGCACUAAUAUGCAUCAAGCCAAAGAAACGGGUAGGAAAACAGACACAUGCUUAGACAAAGCGUCUCAGACAAAAUGCUAUGUUUGCCAUGUCAUUUUUUCUUCCCUGCUGUCUUUGUAAACCCUUCAAGCUGUUCACACAGCCAAUGAAAUAAUAGUCAUUAAUGAGACUUCUCUUGGAUUAUAAAAUAGAGGGGGGGAAAGCGAAGAUGCUAAUCUGAAACCACAGAACCUCUUUACAAUGACAGCCUUUCUGCCAGCACUGCUCGAUCAACAAGUCUUGAGUUAUUGCUGGUGUGCUCUCCAUCUGGCUGCCACUGAUAAGAACUUGGGGGCUGCUGGAUAAUAGUCUCGCAAUCUCAAAAGCAGGAGGGGGACAUAAUGUAUUCUGGGGGGAUCCAGCAAACAGGACCCUACAAACCAAACCACACAUCUCCCCCCAAGCCAAUCUGCACUUUCGGGCGGCCCCUUAGAUAGAGCCGAUGGGGGGGGGUUGGGGGACAUCAUGGUGCAGUAGUCAUGAUUUGCCUUGAGUGUGAUUUUAUUCCUGGAGGGACAAGAUGGCUGCACUCAGCCAAAACACAGGAGCUUCAUCCGUGAGCAAGCGCUAUCAUGUUUAUGGUACAAUAAUCAACUGUGAUCCAAAGCUAUAUGGGCGAGCUUCUGCACUACAGCACCUGCAUGGCCUUGUCUCUUUGCAUUGUUGGAAAUAUGUAAGGCUGGUACAACCUCUAUUUUCAGGGUCAGAGGCACUGACUGUUUGCUGGUUUAUAUCCCCCAGGUGUCCUCAGAAUGACAGCGGCGCAGCAUGGGAGAUGAAAGAGCAAAAAAUGAGAAAUGGUUGAAUGCUGUAGGCUUGCGACGGUUGUUUUUAAUAUCUGAUCAACUGUACAUUGUGUAAAAUUUGUGGUUGUAUAAAUAUAUUUUCUGACACAACCUACGACAAAAAGUAGUCAGUAAAUAGGCAUCCAUCUGUGAAUAAGGUCUUUUUUCUAUUCCUCCCCAGAAACAAGAAACCUCAUGUGACAACUACGUCCACAAAUGCAUCAUUGGGACACAGAGGAGACGAUAGUAUGUGACGUGGAAGAAUACGUAAAAUGACAGCAUGAAGGAACCCCCCAACCCCACCCUCCAGUUGGUUAUUCGUCCAGUGACGCAGGACAAAUCGGACAUCUUUGGCACAAAAAAGACAAAUCAGUUGAAGGGGACUGGGGACAGAUGCACAACUCAGAAUGUUCCCGCUGCAAUGUGUUGAACCUCGUUGAAACAACUCAUCUCUCUACUCUACAAAAAAGGAAUUCCUGCUCUACAAAACAAGCUGAAGAAGUGGAACUCAAAGUGAAACUCAAGAGGAUAUUUUAUAAAUAUUAUGGCUGUGAGUGUAUCCAGCACAAGCUGAUGCAGUGCUACCCCUGAAAACACCAAACUUUUACUAGGACUUCCAGGGAAUCAAAGGUGAAAACACCCAGCCGUACUCCUCAAAUCUGGGCAGAGAAAUGAAUACUGAAGAGCGACAAAGGGCAUUUGCAUCAGCACGUUAUACAACUCCUCUCCACUGGGGAAGAGGACAAACUUUUUGAUGAUGAGUCACUGUUGGUACUACUCGGCAUCAUGUCAUGAACCCAGCUGAUUGUACUUAUGUGGGAUGGCAGGGGAGUGGGCGGGAAAAGGUCAAAAAGUGGUUAGUUGUUAUAUUUUUUCUGUUAAAUGCUGCUGAAUUACCUGUGCAAGAGGAUUUCUUAAAGCAUAAAUUUGUUCUAUGGAUAGCAAUGAAUGCAUUCUGUCUGUCAGUCUUCGGCCCAGGCUGAAAUAUCUUAGCAUUUUUGCCAUUUAGUCAAGACAUUCAUGGUUCCCAGAUGUAUCCUAAUGAUUUUGGUUGUCCUUUAAAAUUGCCUCUUGCACAACCUCAUGGUUGACAUUUGUGGUUUUGAGUGAAAUGUCUUGAUAAUUUUGGAUGGAUUGCCUUGAAAUUUGCCACAGAUGAAUUGUCUAUAGUGUGCACUUUUUAUCCAUCCCCGGGUCAACAUUUUUUAAUUUGUCACAUGGAGUUUGCGCGGGAGUUACACUUACUUUGACUGGUGGUGUACUGUACGCCACUUGGGGUCCAGUCUUAUAAUGCUUUGUGUGAGCUGAUUGUUCUGCAGCAGUUAAAAUAUUCUGUUCCCAGUCACAUUGCUACAUACACAAAAGAGCAUAAAGUGAAGAGGCAGAGGCUGCUGCUUUAACAGAUAAGUAGUAGUAGUAGUUGAGGCACCAUGUUGCCAGUGCGUGUCGUUAUUGACAUAAGGAGGGUCAUUGAAAAGACAAGAGGCCACUGUUAAAGACAAGAGGCCAUUGUUUGCUUCAGCAACAUUCACCCGCUAUUUUGUGUUUCACAGGCUGUUACAGGUGAAUUUAAACACUGUUUCUGGGUUUGAGCCCUUUAUUCUAAAGGCUCUGACACACCAGCGGUGGUCUUUGGCAGAAAAGGCAGUCAGACUGAUCAUUCGGCUCCAGUUGAAAAAGUGCCUUGGAACACACCAACGCGACUCCGACUUGAGCGUAGAUCAUGCGCAUGCGCAAGUCAUAAUACGUCUCCACCAACAGCAGGCAGCUCUAAUCUGUAAUGUCGCCCAAAAAGUAAAAAAUCGGAAAUGACGACCGUGUCACGUGGUUCUGGCUUCUCCUGGAUUUCAAAGCCGACCAUAAUGGCGGCUUGUUCGGAAUACAACCUUGUAUUAUACAAAAAUAGUUCACGAAACAUGCUUCUGAAAACAUUUUAAGCAAGAAAUAGGCCACGCGGUUGUUGAAUCUGUCUAUUUCUUUGAUCGACAAAGGUCAGUUUGAAAGAUAUUCGUCAGUUUUUGAGAGGCGUUCAUCCCGCUCAUCCCGCUCGUCAUUUCCGAAAAAUUGGUCAUUGACUCCAACUGCCCACUGG